GAUGAACGCUAGCGGCAGGCUUAAUACAUGCAAGUCAAGGGGGUAGCAAUACAACCGGCGCACGGGUGAGUAACGCGUACACAACAUACCAUAUACUGGGGUAUAGCUCCGGGAAACUGGAGAUAAUCCCCCAUAACAUUGCGAGAGGGCAUCUGAUUGCAAUUAAAGUUUCGACGGUAUAUGAUUGGUGUGCGUUUUGAUUAGCUUGUCGGUAGGGUAACGGCCUACCAAGGCGACGAUCAAUAGCUGGCGUGAGAGCGCGACCAGCCACACUGGAACUGAGACACGGUCCAGACUCCUACGGGAGGCAGCAGUAGGGAAUAUUGGACAAUGGGCGAAAGCCUGAUCCAGCCG
rnacentral:rRNA from 1 species